CCUGGUGUACGUAUCUUUUGAGGGCAUUCGUCGAUGUCGCUGGUGGUAUUCGCUGGAAGGUGGAAGUUUAAGUUUGUCGUGCGUUGAGAGGUUGAGUUAGUUUUCAAGUUUUCCGCAAAUCUAACUUUGUUACUGUGCUUGUUGCGCUGUGUUUUUACUCCGUUUGGCCGCUGCUCGUGACUUUCGUUUCGUUAAAGUUCUAACUGCAAACAGGUGGUGUGUGAACGGUCGUGUGAAUGUUCCAAUCUCGUCGUGUUCGCGAGUGCAGUGGCCGUUUUAACCGUUAUGUCUGCUGCUGCAAGGCAAUAGCAUUGUAGUGACGAAGAAAGUAAGCCAUUCUGCGGAUCAGCUUUCUCAGCUCUUUUCGUUAACCUGUGGCACAGCGAAGGUGUACGGUGGCGGGUUAAAAGUUUUGCGUUUUUUUUAGUGUAAGUGACCAACUACGGUUAUGCUUUAAUUAAGUGAGGGAGUUGUUUGCUGCAAGAGAAUGUCGUGAAAGAAACCAAGGCAAAGGCCGUGGAACCGCGCACCCAGUGCAAUGCAAAAAAAAAUUGCUAGAAGCAUAAGAGAAAAGAAUUCCGUGAGUUUCUUCGUGUGGCGGUGUUUGUGAGUUGUGUGCUCAUCGUUCACCCACUGGUGCAGUGAAAUGAAAGGUUACACUGAAAGUGAAGUUACAUCGUAAGAAAAUCGUGGUAACCAAACAGCCGGUGGUGUGUGUGUGCGACGUAAACCGGCACGUUCAAAUGUGAUUGCGAAAUAUGCUUAGUUAGCUGUUAAAAAAGAAGAAUAGUCGUUGUGUUCCCCCAGCACAAAUCUAACCGCAGGGAAACCCCUUACAGGUCGUACACAGUGGUGCGUUCAUGUGCAUAUGAUUAGAGCGUGCGUGCAUGAGUGCGUGCAAGCAAAAAGUGAAAGUGUUCUCGCUCGUAGGGCUCAUCUAAAUGGUGCAUUCCGUCGCCAAAAGCAGCAGCAGCAGCAGCAGCAGUAGCAGCAGCAAUGACGCAAGCGAAGGAGGAUCUAUCCAAGGAUAUUGCGCCGGCGGGCGACGGAGGGGGCGGUACCGGUGUCGGUGCCGCAAUCGGUUUCCAUAAUCAUGCACAGCAGCCACAUCAUCACCAUCAGCAGACACAACAUCCACUGCACCCACACCAGGAACAUCCGCUCGAAUCAUCCGGAGACCACGUGAAGUACGUGUUUCCGGGUUCAUCCCAGGCAGCUGGAUCUCAGGCGGCUCAGGCUGCUCAGCUGAUCGGUGGUGGGGUGAACUCCGUCGCCGGCACGACUACAAAUCCGUCGGCUGGCCGAAUAAUGCUAGAGUACCAGCGUCCUACCGGCGGAGGUCACUCGCGCUCGGUUAGCCAUGGUGAAGGUUCGUUCGGGGGGUCGCUGGUUGGUAGUGGCGGAGCUGCCGGACGACCUUCAGCCUUGAAAUCGGCGGUCAAGGGAGGUCACCAGCGGGCCCUGUCCCAGGGUCAAAUCAUGGAUGCACCAACGAUCGCAACCCGGGGUCACAGUCGGGUUGGAUCGAAAACCGACUUUAUCCUACCACCCGGUCACAAAGAUCAACCGGAGCAGCGGGACGCAGCACCUCCACACUCGGCCACCUCCAUCAAGGGCCACUCGCGGCAAGCAUCACGAUCGGAGUCGAUCUACACCUUGCGCCGAGCCGACAAACCACCCUGGUGGAAGCGUCUCAUGUUCUGCCGAACGGCUAACAGCAAGCUCGAGGAUCGAGGCUACCGGAUAGUGGUCCCGAACCAUACCGUACCGCCCAAAACUCCCAAACGGGACCAUCCGAAUGGGCGCCUGUGCGGCAAUAAAAUCCGCACCACCAAGUACACGCUUCUUUCGUUCGUACCGAAAAAUUUGCUCGAACAGUUUCAUCGAAUUGCGAAUCUGUACUUCAUCUUCAUCGUGCUGCUCAACUGGUUCCCGCAGAUCAAUGCGUUUGGGAAAGAAAUUGCCAUGAUCCCGGUACUGUUUGUGCUCGGGGUUACCGCGAUAAAAGAUUUGUUUGAGGAUCGCCGCCGAAAAGCGUCCGAUAAGCGGAUCAACAACUCAACCUGCCGCGUGUAUAAUGGUGAAUCAGAACGCUACAAGAAAGUUCUCUGGCAAGAUGUGCGCGUCGGAGAUCUGGUCCACCUGUCCAACAACGAGACUGUGCCGGCCGACAUACUGCUGCUCAAAUCAAGCGAUCCACACGGUGUUUGCUACAUCGACACGUGUGAUCUGGAUGGGGAGACUAACUUAAAACGACGGCAGGUGGUACGAGGCUUUGUCGAGAAGCAACAUAUCUUCGCACCGAACAAGUUCAUCAGUCGAAUCGAGGUCGAUGCACCGUCAACGAAAAUCUACCGCUUCCACGGUGCUGUGAUACAUCCCUCCGGCGAACGAGUCCCUGUUUCAACCGAAAGCUUGCUGCUGAGAGAAAGUCGCCUAAAGAACACGGACUAUGCGGAAGGAAUCGUUGUCUAUGCGGGGCACGAAACCAAAGCGAUGCUAAACAACAGCGGUCCCAGGUAUAAGCGAUCGCGCGUCGAACAGCAGAUGAACAUCGAUGUGAUAUGGUGUGUUAUCAUAUUGAUCGUGCUUUGUAUCAUCGGUGCCGUCGGGUGCAAGCUGUGGCUUUCCUUCUAUGCCACCGAUGCGGACAAUGACGAUACCUCCGGUGGCAGUGCCAACGAUACAUUCCGAAUACCGUUCCUGCCGUUCGAAAUCAGUCCCGACUAUGAAGGGUUGCUAGCCUUCUGGACGUUUGUCAUAAUCUUGCAGAUCAUGAUACCGCUCUCGCUGUACGUUACGAUCGAGCUGUGCAAGCUGAUGCAGGUGUACCACAUACACAACAACAUAGAGCUGUACGAUCCGGACUCGAACAAGCGUACCGAAUGCCGGGCGAUGAACAUCACCGAGGAGCUCGGCCAAAUACAGUAUGUGUUUUCGGAUAAAACGGGCACGCUGACGGAAAACCGCAUGAUAUUCCGGCGCUGCACGAUCGUGGGCGUGGACUACAACCACCCGGAGACGGAGGAGGAAAAGGAGCUGAACAAGAUUGGUGCACCGGUUCCGAUUCUCCAGCCAAAUCUAAGUUUGCUUGAAAACUUCCGAGGCAAUGCACCACCAUCUUUGCUGGAGACGAACCCGGGAAUCGGUCGAGGAACGAGUGAGGGUGGAAAUGAAACUGUCGCUAAUCAAAUACAGGAAUUCUUUCUGGUGCUGGCUAUAUGCAACACGGUGGUAGUGAGUGCGACCCCGCACAGGGAUAACAUGAAUGCGAGCGGUGUGAUCGAGAUGAACGAUAGCGAUACGAGCGUUACGCUUGUGCGUCCCGCGUUGGUCGAGUCGGACGGAGGAAGUCUCCCGCUUGCGGCGUGUGAUCCGAUGGUCGGGGAUCGGUACGCUCGGCUGACGGAGUCUCGAUCCAUUACGCCUUCUCCGCCACCGAAUGCGCCUUCCUCGCUGCCCCUAAAAGCAACACACGUGCCAUCACUGUCGCCGAUCAGCAGCUCGGCGGAAACAUCGCCUAUGUCGGAAAGUCCACCGAUGCGGCUAAAAUCACUGACCACGCCGACGGCAAAGGUGAAAUCGCUCGUAGCCAAGCUGGGCAACGUGGCCAGUGGUGCGAAGGGUGGUGGAGUUUUUAAGAGCGUUGACAGGAGCAGUACCGGCAGCACUAGCAGCAGCAAAAAUCGAUUCGCAUCGAACAAUAGCAGCAGUGGCGCCUCAAAAUUCCACAAGUCUUUCUCCCAAGGUUCGUCAUCGCCUGCCUCCAGUCGACCAAUCUACGAAGCGGAAAGCCCCGACGAACUGGCCCUUGUCAAUGCGGCCUUCAGCUACGACUGCUGUCUGGUGAACCGCAGCCCAAACCAUGUCCUGGUCAGCAUCCCAGGUGAAGGCGUUAUAGAGUACGAGGUGCUGAAAGUGCUUCCUUUCGAUUCGGCCCGCAAGUGUAUGUCGGUGGUGGUACGUCGAACCGGCACGCAGGAGGUGGUACUGUAUACGAAGGGUGCGGACAGUAGCAUCAUGCCAAAUCUAGUACCGUGCACACCAGGCUCGGAAGAGUAUCGGUUGCGAGAGCAGACCCAGCACCAGCUUAAUGUGUACGCCCGGCAGGGUUUGCGUGUGCUAGUCAUGGCAAAGCGAAAGUUAGAUCCGACCGACUUUAGCGAAUGGUACAGCAAGCACGAAGAAUGCGAACUAAGCAUGGAGAGCCGGGAGCGUAAGAUCCGCGAUUCGUUCGUGCUGCUCGAAAGAGGCUUAACCCUCGUCGGGACAACCGGUAUUGAGGAUCGUUUGCAGGAAGGUGUUCCCGAGACGAUCAGCUCGCUGCUGCAAGCCGGCAUCGUUAUUUGGGUGCUGACGGGUGAUAAGGCCGAAACGGCCAUCAACAUUGCAUACUCAGCCAAGUUGUUCAACUCGCAGAUGGACAUUCUAAAGCUGACGGCACGAUCACGCGACUCGGCGGAAGCAAGCAUAAACUUUUACCUCAACGAAAUCGAAAAACAACUCAACUCCAACGGUGCGCCCACCGAUGACGACGCGUUCGAUCAGCUGGACAAAACACGAGCCCUUGUUGUGGACGGUAAAACGUUGACCUUCAUCCUGGAUCUGCGGUCCAAUCUCACCAAGCCAUUCCUAAGACUGACCCGCUACUGUUCGUCCGUGCUGUGCUGUCGCGCGACCCCGCUACAAAAAGCGUUCCUCGUGAAGGUGGUUAAGGAGGAACUGCGGAUCAGCACACUAGCUAUCGGCGAUGGAGCUAACGAUGUUUCAAUGAUACAGAUGGCCGACGUUGGCGUGGGUAUCUGCGGACAGGAAGGCAUGCAGGCUGUAAUGGCUUCGGACUUUUCCAUUGCCAAGUUUAAAAUGCUGGAAAAAUUGCUGCUCGUUCACGGACACUGGAAUUACGAUCGGCUGGCGCGCAUGAUCAUAUACUUUUUCUACAAAAAUGCGGCAUUCGUGUUUCUUCUGUUCUGGUAUCAAUUUUACUGCGGAUUUUCCGGUGCUGUCAUGAUCGAUCAGGUGUACUUAAUGAUCUACAAUUUACUAUUUACUGCCUUGCCUCCGUUGGCGAUCGGGGUGUACGAUAAGAAGAUUAUCGACGACCUUCUGCUGGCCUAUCCGCAGUUGUAUCAGCAUGGUCGUCGGGGGAAGGGCUAUAAGUGGUCGACGUUUUGGAUCGUGAUGCUCGAUGCGGUGUACCAGAGUUUGGUGAUAUUUUUCGUAGCGAAGGCAGCGUACUGGGGCUCGGACGUGGACAUAUGGGUGUUUGGUACGACUAUCACAUCGUCCUGCCUGUUUACGAUGCUGCUACACUGUGCCAUAGAAAUUAAAUCAUGGACAAUCUUACAUGUCUUGUCGAUCGUGAUCAGCCUGGUGUCGUUCUAUGCGUUUGCAUUUGCGUACAAUUCAGUUUGUGUCAACUGCUUCGGAUUGCCAUCCAACUAUUGGGUUAUCCACAUGAGCAUGAGUACAGUGCAGUAUUAUCUGAUUACGUUGCUUUCUUCCGUACUUGCGCUCUUACCACGAUUCACGUACCGCGUGAUCAAAAAUACCAUUUGGCCCUGCGAAGGCGUGCGGGUAACGCUGCAGUACAAGGAAGAAAAACGAAGAGGUGAGAAUCUGCUGGUAACCUGGUCUCGUUCGACGUCUGCCUCAUCCAUAUUCAGGUACUUAACACACACAACCUCAAGCAAUCACUCGAAAUCCAGUACGCUGAUCACGAGAAAGCGUUCCGCCACGACCACUGCGGCCGUCGGUGGAAUACUCGAGCGCAAUGCACCACGGCAGCGUUUCGGUUACUAAGCGCCGAGCAGAGCAAAGCAAACUCCCUCCGUCCGAUGUAGUAUAUGCGGAGGAAACGAUCGAACCAUCAUCAUCUAUCAGCAGCAUGUCCAAGCCUUCAAUAUCUGUCUAAUUUCGAUCCACUGCGAGAAGCCUUCGGCAGUAGAUUGCGUUACUUGUUAACAUCCCUGGGGAACCUCCCAUCACAGGGCUUCGCAUAAGGCUGUAAACGGAAGGUAACAUCGUCGCUUCAAAAAGCUACUGCCCAACAUUCGAUCGUCCAGGCGGAGGACUGUGCACUUGUUUUAAAAGGAACCCGAUAACACUAAUCACCGCUGCUGUAAACUAAAGAAAAGAAGGAAAACACAACACUCUAAUGGCUCUACUUUCCAGUGAUACCCAAAACAAUCAAAACGAAACGUAACAGGAACAUUGUUCUGGUGGCGGCCUUAUCACACGCGUCAAGCUGUUUGGGACUGAAUUGGUCGUCCAUAUCCUAACCCCCUUUCGUUUGUAUUAAAAUGGACAAGCUCGUUGUUAGUAUUGUAAUGCUUUGUAGAAAUCGAUCAUAAAACAGUUAUUUAUUGCCCGGCCUCCCGGUGUUUGGACCAGGGCCUAGAGCGCGCAUAGAGAAAAUCGCAAAUUAAUUCUUCUCCCAAAAGAAGUCUGGAAGGAUCGGUUUUUGAGGUUGUUGUGAGUGAUGGAGCGACAGUUAGAAGGUUAAUGUUGCUAGCGCGCGGAUGAGUCAAUAUAGAUGCUGCGACCACGGCUGUGAAUGUGAAUGCUUAAUCGCGGGCGCUCCGUAAAGAACUGCGAUUUGAAAGGUGCGCGAGCGCGCGUGAGAAAAAGAGAGCGGGAGCGAGAGAGAGACAGGGGGGGUUCAUAAUACAAUAAUUUAAAUCUAUCUUAGACGACAAUAAAAGGUAAUAAGAUGGCGGUCGCAACAGGGGAAAACUAUUUGAAAAGAAUGUAUGCAUUUAAUGUAGACCAAUAACACACGGAAUUAGUGUAGCUAAUGAGUAAUGAGUAAUGAAAAGACGACCCGAAGUGCCUCCGAAGAACCGCCCGAGGUGUGGCACGCUUUAUUGAGUAUGUGCAUAAUCGCUAGGCUUAAAUCUAAUUUAACUACCGCUUACUGUUAACGAUGCUGAUGAAGAUACAAGGCAACUGUAAGGAACCCGUAGCCUUUAAAGCUGCUGCUCGAAGAGGCAGCAUAUGAGCAUGUAUUAUACGCAACAUGGGAAGAAGGCUGAGCAGCUGCCGUUUAAAAACGGUGAAUAAUGGAGCACACUUGACGCGCUAAAUUCGUUGGCAAAGAGAUGCGGCUUAAUAAGUGAUAGGAACACCUUUGCAAUCCCUGCAUCCAAUAUCCUGUACCCUGUGGCAACAUUCGCUGUACAUAGUCCGAUCAGCAUGAAAGAGUGCACGUUAACGAUAGGAGGAACAGAGUUGGCAGCAUCCGCCGCGCGCACCGUUAAAACAAAACCAGAUGGAAUAUUUUUUAUACAUUGUGAGAGAAAUAAAACGACGAGGAAAAACGUGUAAAAACCCCUA